rnacentral:rRNA from 1 species
AACGAACGCUGGCGGCAGGCUUAACACAUGCAAGUCGAACGCGAAAUCACCUUCGGGUGGUGGAGAGUGGCAGACGGGUGAGUAACGCGUGGGAACCUACCUAGUGGUACGGAAUAACUCAGGGAAACUUGGGCUAAUACCGUAUGUGCCCGAAAGGGGAAAGAUUCAUCGCCACUAGAUGGGCCCGCGUCGGAUUAGCUUGUUGGUGAGGUAACGGCUCACCAAGGCGACGAUCCGUAGCUGGUCUGAGAGGAUGAUCAGCCACACUGGGACUGAGACACGGCCCAGACUCCUACGGGAGGCAGCAGUGGGGAAUAUUGGACAAUGGGCGCAAGCCUGAUCCAGCCAUGCCGCGUGAGUGAUGAAGGCCCUAGGGUUGUAAAGCUCUUUCGGCGGGGACGAUAAUGACGGUACCCGCAGAAGAAGCCCCGGCUAACUUCGUGCCAGCCGCCGCCGUAA